GCGUUAAUCGGAAUUACUGGGCGUAAAGGGUGCGCAGGCGGCGUCGCAAGUCAGGCGUGAAAUCCCCGGGCUUAACCUGGGAACUGCACUUGAAACUACGAUGCUGGAGUAUGGCAGAGGGAGGUGGAAUUCCACGUGUAGCGGUGAAAUGCGUAGAGAUGUGGAGGAACACCGAUGGCGAAGGCAGCCUCCUGGGCCAAUACUGACGCUCAUGCACGAAAGCGUGGGGAGCAAACAGG
rnacentral:rRNA from 1 species